UUUCUACUCCCUCCGUCAGAAAAUACUUGUCAUCAAAAUGGAUAAAAAGAGAUGUAUCUAAAACUAAAAUACGUCUAGAUACAUUUCCUUUUAUCCAUUUUGAUGACAAGUAUUUCCGGACGGAGGGAGUAUUUA
rnacentral:pre_miRNA from 1 species